UACGUAGGGUGCAAGCGUUAUCCGGAAUUAUUGGGCGUAAAGAGCUCGUAGGCGGUUUGUCGCGUCUGCUGUGAAAACCCGAGGCUCAACCUCGGGCCUGCAGUGGGUACGGGCAGACUAGAGUGCGGUAGGGGAGAUUGGAAUUCCUGGUGUAGCGGUGGAAUGCGCAGAUAUCAGGAGGAACACCGGUGGCGAAGGCGGGUCUCUGGGCAUUAACUGACGCUGAGGAGCGAAAGCAUGGGGAGCGAACAGG
rnacentral:rRNA from 1 species